UAAAGAUGUCUGCGCCUUAUGGGUAAGCUUGUGGACCCGUUUCCUCCCCUUAAAAUGAGAAACUUGAAGUGCAUUCAAAAAAUCUUGAACAAUAAGUUGCAUUCAAAAACCUGUGACAGCUGAGGCCACAUAAGAGAUUCAAUAUGGACAAAAAGAAUGGC